rnacentral:lncRNA from 1 species
AUCCGCGAGAGAGGCGCGCGCCCGCCACCGCUGGGGGCUCCAGCCGCCCGCCGACCCGGGCCUGGCAGAGGGGACGCGGCGCCCAAGCCGCUCCUCCGGAUGGCGACAGAGACGGCCUGACGCGCCCGCAGCCUGGGCCCCCCACGGGGAGGACGGCCGGGCCAGGUGAAGUUCGCGCACUUGGGCCUUCCGCGCCCCCAUCCACCGCAGCCAGGGCCUGGAAGGCUGGGGAGGGGGCGGGGGCGGCAGACGCCUCCUAAGGUGGGUUCUGGGACUUGGAUCCGGAGUUUAUUCCAAGGAGAGGGUGCUCUGGGCCUGUUCCCUAGGUGUGCCCUGUUACCCAAAAUCGGGCUUGUGCAGUGGGGUCCCUGAGUCCACUGGGAGCACAGCCUCAGACCCCAGCAGAGUCACCCUUCAUCGGAAGCCCACCACCCUGAGGGCUCCUCCUCCACCUGGGGCGGCACUGCCAGGCACAGGCACGCACUUUCCCUCAGUCCUCUGCCCCACGAUCACUCUACUCGGGCACCUCUGCCACUGCCUGGUCCUUGCUGAGCCAUCUCCUGGUUCAUCUCCCUGGAGUCCCUGCAGGACCGGCUCUCAGUGGCGUCUCCGGGCUCCCAGUCCCAGGACUGGUCCUAUCCAGGUGGGUUUUCUGAGCAGGAUGACAAUGAUCGCAAUCUAUUUUACCUGCAUAGUCAACGAUCAUCUGCAAGACAGGUUCACUCCUAUAACAAGCAAAGGAUGGGGGGAAAAUGAGCCUUGUAAGGACACAAGGACACUUUCCCCAUCUCCAACCCUCCUAGUCAUGUCCCCUCUGCACCUCCCUCUACAGCCCAGGAGAUACGCUCCCCAGUCCAGGAUGUCCAGAUGGCCCUGCUGCCUGGAGAGGCUCUGGCCCCUGCCGGUAGCUGCCACAGCACCACCCCAAGCUCUGCCUUCCUGCAGGUUCGUGCACACGACUAAUAGAACCCCUCCUCUGGAACUCACAAGAUAUUCUCCAUCCUGCAUAGGGCUGGGGGCUUGAGCACCCCAGGAGAUUCUUUUGGCGCUGGAGACCCUUUUCUGAGGAGCCAGUAGAGGGCCUGCAAGUCAGAUUGAGCAACCAGGGAGAAGAAGCAUCAUCCCUUCAUCUUGAGGCCUGGUCCAGGGAGGUGAAGGGAUGUGGA